rnacentral:rRNA from 1 species
AGUGAACGCUGGCGGUAGGCCUAACACAUGCCAGUCGAACGGCAGCACAGUAAGAGCUUGCUCUUACGGGUGGCGAGUGGCGGACGGGUGAGGAAUACAUCGGAAUCUACUUUUUUGUGGGGGAUAACGUAGGGAAACUUACGCUAAUACCGCAUACGACCUACGGGUGAAAGCAGGGGAUCUUCGGACCUUGCGCGAUUGAAUGAGCCGAUGUCGGAUUAGCUAGUUGGCGGGGUAAAGGCCCACCAAGGCGACGAUCCGUAGCUGGUCUGAGAGGAUGAUCAGCCACACUGGAACUGAGACACGGUCCAGACUCCUACGGGAGGCAGCAGUGGGGAAUAUUGGACAAUGGGCGCAAGCCUGAUCCAGCCAUACCGCGUGGGUGAAGAAGGCCUUCGGGUUGUAAAGCCCUUUUGUUGGGAAAGAAAAGCAGCAGGUUAAUACCCCGCUGUUCUGACGGUACCCAAAGAAUAAGCACCGGCUAACUUCGUG